UCCUCUCCGUUUACCUCUCUCAUCUCUCCUACAGAAACCCUACCCGCCGCCCCUAAUUCCACCGCCUUAACCAGGCGGCGCCCCCACCUUUCCCCACCAAAUCAACACCCUAGUGCCUUCUCGACCUCCUCUUCCCAAGUCUUUGACCAGCUCCCUUCGAAUCUAUUUGGAACUCGUCGAAUGUUAAAUCUGAAGGCCGAGCUUUUAAAACCAAACCCAAACCCGUACAUGCAGAGUUGUUCCUUGUUAAAAAACAAGUACUUGACAUCAUUUAGGAGUCCCAAGCCCCAGGUUCGAGUUUUAGUUGGUACCUCCUUAGCCCAUGAAUAACGAGUGAUUGUUGAUAAUGUGAAUCGGGUGGAAUACUGAUUGAACGCAGGCUGCAUUUGAACUUAGCUUCCCCUGUUCCUCCUACUUCUUUAAUCUUCUGUAGUAGAUAUGUAGUUUUAGAUGUUAUCUAAGCUAUCACUUGCACAUUUAAUGUUGUGUAUGUAUGAUUAAUUGGACAAUGUGUGCCAUGGGAUCACUGUAAUAGAUUGUCAAUUAUACCAUAAUCAAUAGUGUAAUAGUAUGUCGUUUCACCUGCGGAAUUGUUCUCUUAAAACCAGUUUGUGAUUGAUUGUUGAACUUACAUAAGUUAGUUUGUUCUA